CAGGCGUGUCUUCCGCGUUUUUAACGGUAGUGGUGGUGGUGUCGGAUAGCGGUCCGCCCCGUUCCGCGGCUUGGCCGGGGCACCCUGGAGGUGGCAGCUCGCCUCCCGCCCGUGCCUGGCUUCGCUGCGACGCUGCAGGUUGGCACUUCCUCUUCGGCCCCUGCGUCCGAGGCGGCUCCAUUUCUGUGCUGUGGUAAAACCAAGAGGUCAUAAGCAUUUGUGUAUUAACCGCUACAGUAACAGCAGAGGAGAAGGAAAGGCCGAGCAUCAACAACAACAACAGUCUGUAAAUGUAUACUUCUGGCUACAUGGAAGGUGAUUAACUACAGUCAUAAGAAUGUAAAAAGUCUUUGAAAUACUUGCCUACAGAACAGCAGUAACUUAAGAAAUUCAGUGGGAUAACUUGUACAGCACUGCAGAGACAGAUCGUCAGCUGCUAACUCAGCAGAACUUGGCAUGACUGAGAAUGUCAGUGGAGAAAGAAUCCUUCAAUGGCUGAGAAGAAAACUUCUGUAUUGCCAGAAAGAUGCAAAGUAACUCUUCUCAAAGGUACCAGGAGGUUUUAUGGUCAUGUAGGCACACUAGCAGAACAUACUUCUAAGAACUUUCUUGAACAGAUUUGUGAAGUCAGGAUACUGCAAAUAUCAUGUGUCAGAAUUUCAAAGACAACACCCCUCCAAAGGGAACACAAGAAGCUUUCUCUUGACAUCAAGAACAAAGUUUUCGUUUUAGCCAGUGAAGACAUACAUUCUGCUGCACAACUACGGAGCGAGGAAACUGUAUUUUGUAUCACUGGAUAAGCUUCAAAAGAAGCUGCCAAUGAAGGAUUGAGGACAUUUUUUUUGACUCUUCCAGGAAUUUCCUACAGAGAAGCAAAAGCUUUACAUUGAAUAGCUGCAGGUAGAUUCAACUUAACUGUGUUAAAAUCAACAGAACCAAAUACAAUUUUUUAGAGAGAAAUGCGUUGUGUUGUAGUAUUCUUCUGGAUGUGAGUGAAACUUUAUGAUUACAUUAACCUAAUGCCUUUUUCAUCUUUCCAAAUAGAGGGAAAACAGAUCUUCCUAGAAGUUGGAAAUUUAGGAUGUAAAGGAUGUAAAGGAGUUCCCAGAAGGGAAAGAGACAAGAUUGCAGUACUUGAUCACAACAUUUUUAAAGAACAAUUCUUCAGGAAGGCUGAUGUUAAAAGAAAACUGUUCUGCACUCCUACAACCACAUAUUUAUUUAUCACAGAAACUGGUUUCAAAAGGACUUGUAUGACAGAACCUAAAAGGAUACAUCUCUCCUAAAAUAAAUACCAUGGCCUCUUUCCCA
rnacentral:lncRNA from 1 species